GCAGUGGUAGUUCAGUGGUAGAAUUCUCACUUUCUGUGCAGGAGACCUGGGUUCAAUUCCUGGCCAAUGCA
rfam:Loxodonta africana unplaced genomic scaffold scaffold_31, whole genome shotgun sequence.